CAGGCGCAGCAGUUACCUGCCAGACUGGGGGACGUGGCAGAAAAGGUCCUUGCCUUGAGGAAGUUCGAGUCUAGCAGAGGAGAAAAUCAAGAAACAACGCCAAAUGCAUUAUGUCCGAGUGGAAGGUCCUCUGGGAAGCACCCAGGGCACAGGAACACAGUGUCUACUUCUCACCAAAGGAGCCCUCUCCUAUAUCCAGGUUGCAGCUCUCUUACAGCUCACGCAGAGUCCCCCAGAGGAUGAAUUCUCUCUAGUCUUCAUUUGGAAAAAAGAAAUCUCAUCACAGGUCAGCCAGCAGAGAUUUCUAAGCAGUCACUGUAAAUCCCACAUCGUGGCUAACCUAGAAGAAAAAAGUAUUGGACACCAAGGACCUCAAUUUGAAAUCAGAGAAAAGCAAGACUAACAAAUGCCAGCAGGCAAGCACUUGCUGAAGUGUAUUUGCCGGAGCUAUCAAAAAGCCUGAUGGAAAAAGUGGGCGUCCACACCAGUUUUCUAGGAACUCAUUCUGUUUAUACCUGCUACAUUGGUGUAACUAUUAUUAUUAUUAAUCCCCUGACCUUCACAACUGUACUGGUUUGGGUGAGAAAUUAUGAAGUCACCUUAAUGAUGGCUCAUCUAUAGAAAUGAACUCAACAAAAACUAUAACCAUAGCAACUAAGAAUCAUGUUGAUGGGUGCUUUGUUAGCAUAGAUGGCAUCACAUACACCCCCAGUGUAUUUUAGCCUGAAUGAGGCAAUUCCUUCUGUUGCUGGUGAGAUUUGUAUAGGCUCUGCUUGUCUUGUUGGUUAAUCUGAUGCAAAGACUCAUCUCUGUGCUCAAAUUCUGAUCUCUGGCAUAGGCUUAGACUAUUGCUGAGACACGUCAGGUCUUUUGUCUAUGGGAAACAGGUCAAGAUCAGCCCUAAGGAAUGGGCAAAAAGUGAACUGUGUAGUCCACAUGAAGGAAGCGGGCUGGAGGUCUCACCUGCUCAGCUUGACAGCCUGGUCUGAGCAACCCACUCCAUGCUGGAUGCUCAGCAUUCAGUCAGUGAGGCAGAAGGACUUAUAUGAGGAAUAACGUUAUAGUGAAGCACUAAGAAUAGCGUGGGCUGUGAGCAAUUUGGAAGUGUACACUAUACAUCAGUGGGAGGCAGGGGAUGUGGCUGUGGAUGUUGGCAGAGGCUAAAUGAUGAAGGACCUACAUCAGUAAGCAUCAUGGUUUUCCUCUGGAGUCGAAAUGACAUCUCAAAUGUCAUCCCAUCCUGGGGCCCCUCCUUGUACUGACAGUAACAUUUGCAGCAAGAUGACCUGGUUUUUCUCUCAGAACCUUGUUGNNNNNNNNNNCGCGCGCUCAGGCAGGCCAUGCCGCCUCACCAGGCACGCAGCUUCAGCUAAUCAGGGCAGCAGGGGCAUAUCUCCACCAAA
rnacentral:lncRNA from 1 species